AAAAAGGUACACCAGUCCCUCAAAAUCCAAACUACUCAAAUGAAAUGCUGGCAAUUCGAUAUUUACUUGCUAUACAAUCGAAAGUCCUCAAAUGUGCUAAAGAUAUCAAAUUUGUAGUGAACUAAUGAUAACAUUUCUAACAUAAUUGCAUGUACCCCAAAGAAACAUAUACUGUGUAAUAUAAUAAAGUCAUACAACCUACGAAGCAUGGCUCAAUUUGGUGGAUCGACAAGCUCCAAAACUGCUCAACUCGGCUGCUAUCUGUCUGAUAAGGAAAAAGGGUAAAAGAAAUAUGAGCUAAUAGCUCAAUGAGUGGAUAAUUUGCAAAUAAGUAAACUUUUUUCCAUUUAUGCAUAUUUUCUUCAAAUUCUUGCUCUAUUAAAACUUUGAGAAUUCUGAAAUCUGAUAAAACCUUUAAAACUAAAACAUGACUGCAUCAUAAGAUUCUUUGUCCUUUAUUCGAGAUAAAUAACUGUAAAGUAUAACAAAUUUU
rnacentral:lncRNA from 1 species